GAUGAACGCUGGCGGCGUGCCUAAUACAUGCAAGUCGAGCGAACAGACGAGGAGCUUGCUCCUCUGACGUUAGCGGCGGACGGGUGAGUAACACGUGGAUAACCUACCUAUAAGACUGGGAUAACUUCGGGAAACCGGAGCUAAUACCGGAUAAUAUAUUGAACCGCAUGGUUCAAUAGUGAAAGACGGUUUUGCUGUCACUUAUAGAUGGAUCCGCGCCGCAUUAGCUAGUUGGUAAGGUAACGGCUUACCAAGGCAACGAUGCGUAGCCGACCUGAGAGGGUGAUCGACCACACUGGAACUGAGACACGGUCCAGACUCCUACGGGAGGCAGCAGUAGGGAAUCUUCCGCAAUGGGCGAAAGCUUGACGGAGCAACGCCGCGUGAGUGAUGAAGGUCUUCGGAUCGUAAAACUCUGUUAUUAGGGAAGAACAAAUGUGUAAGUAACUAUGCACGUCUUGACGGUACCUAAUCAGAAAGCCACGGCUAACUACGUG
rnacentral:rRNA from 1 species